rnacentral:rRNA from 1 species
UACGUAGGGGUCGGGCGUUGUCCGGAGUUACUGGGCGUAAAGCGCGCGCAGGUGGCUAAUUGCGCCCGGCGUGAAAGCCCCCGGCUCAACCGGGGAGGGUCGUCGGGGACGGGUGAGCUUGAGGGUAUCAGGGGCUGGUAGAAUUCCCGGUGUAGUGGUGAAAUGCGUAGAGAUCGGGAGGAAUACCCGUGGCGAAGGCGGCCAGCUGGGAUACACCUGACACUGAGGCGCGAAGGCGUGGGGAGCGAACGGG